GUCGAACGACCCUUCGGGGUUAGUGGCGCACGGGUGCGUAACGCGUGGCCCUUAUAACUUUAGGUUCGGAAUAACUCCCCGAAAGGGGAGCUAAUACCGGAUAAUGUCUUCGGACCAAAGAUUUAUCGCCUUUAGAUGGGCCCGCGUUAGAUUAGGUAGUUGGUGGGGUAAUGGCCUACCAAGCCGACGAUCUAUAGCUGGUCUGAGAGGAUGAUCAGCCACACUGGGACUGAGACACGGCCCAGACUCCUACGGGAGGCAGCAGUGGGGAAUAUUGGACAAUGGGCGAAAGCCUGAUCCAGCAAUGCCGCGUGAGUGAUGAAGGCCUUAGGGUUGUAAAGCUCU
rnacentral:rRNA from 1 species